GACGUAGGGCGCGAGCGUUGUCCGGAUUUAUUGGGCGUAAAGAGCUCGUAGGCGGCUUGUUGCGUCAGCUGUGAAAACCCGCAGCUCAACUGUGGGCUUGCAGCUGAUACGGGCAGGCUUGAGUUCGGUAGGGGAGACUGGAAUUCCUGGUGUAGCGGUGAAAUGCGCAGAUAUCAGAAGGAACAUCAGUGGCGAAGGCGGCUUCCUGGACCAAUACCGACGAUCAGGUGCGAAAGCGUGGGGAGCAAACAGG
rnacentral:rRNA from 1 species